AACGAACGCUGGCGGCAGGCUUAACACAUGCAAGUCGAGCGCCCCGCAAGGGGAGCGGCAGACGGGUGAGUAACACGUGGGAACAUACCCAUCUCUGCGGAACAACUCCGGGAAACUGGAGCUAAUACCGCAUACGCCCUUAGGGGGAAAGAUUUAUCGGAGAUGGAUUGGCCCGCGUUGGAUUAGCUAGUUGGUGGGGUAAAGGCCUACCAAGGCGACGAUCCAUAGCUGGUCUGAGAGGAUGAUCAGCCACAUUGGGACUGAGACACGGCCCAAACUCCUACGGGAGGCAGCAGUGGGGAAUAUUGGACAAUGGGCGCAAGCCUGAUCCAGCCAUGCCGCGUGAGUGAUGAAGGCCUUAGGGUUGUAAAGCUCUUUCACCGAUGAAGAUAAUGACGGUAGUCGGAGAAGAAGCCCCGGCUAACUUCGUGCCAGCAGCCGCAGUAAGAC
rnacentral:rRNA from 1 species